ACAAAUUCUAUGAAGAGAAUAGUAGAUAUUAUCUUAGUAUCUUAAGCGAGUAGAGGACGGUGGAAGCUCUAUGAGAAAAGUUUUAUUGAAGACAUCUCGGAGAAGCUUAUCUGAAAAUAUCAGUAAGAUAAGACGGAUUCCCCCGUUAAAAGGAUUUGAGACGACUUAAGUUAUGUACUUAGUCAAAGUAGAAUGGUACCGUGAAGUAUAGCUUUCACUUCUAUAAUGAAGUGGAGGCUUUUUAUAUUUCAAUUUAAAAUGAAUUAAGGCCUGUUCAUUUUAUGUAUCGUUUAAAUUUAACUAUGUAUACUAUUUAUGUUAAUUAGGGUGGUACCGCGGAUUUUUCGCCCCUUCA
rnacentral:ncRNA from 1 species